rnacentral:misc_RNA from 1 species
CACGCUUGCCAUCCGGCCCCAGUUCUCCCACACAUAUCUGGUGAAUCUCCUCCGCUCGUCUUCGAUUUCUUUGCCUUAUCGUUCCCGCUGCUCAUUCACAGGUGCGCUGGUGCAAGAACGGCUGCUGCACAACCAGCGACGUCCGUCUCUAUACAAGUUGGUCGCAUCAGACACGCACCCGGGGAGCCGAAUAUGAGCCACUACACGGUUAGCAGCAGUGAGAGCGGCUCUUUCUGCACAAACACGGCGCCGCAUUCGCACAUGCGCGCCGGCACGGAGCACUCCGAGUCGGCUGUCGCGAGCUUCAGCAAGCGCACCCACAUGCACCCAUCCGUUGUUGCGGCUGCGGACGGCGGCUUCGAUGAAGAGGCUGCCGACUCUGCCUACAGCGAGAACACGCCGAAGAAGCCGCUGCAGUCCACCAAGACAUCUGCCGCGACGAUGGCGCAGGAGUCGCCAUCCAUGACCAUCCGCCGCGUGCCGCUCGACUACUCCAAGCGAAUGGAGGACCAGAAGGCGCGCAGCAGUGCGCUGGAGCGGUACAAGAUGCUUUUCCGCGGAAAUCGGCAGGUGGAAAGCAAGCAGCCAUCGCAGAACUCUGUGGACGCCGAGGAGGUCGGGGAGCUCUCGAAGCGGCGCGAUGAUGAGCAGUCGGAAGCGUUUGCUUCACCUGCCGGCUGCUCUGCCAUGGACGAGACCGUCGUCAGCGACGACUCGGAGACAGAGGAGGGGAAGCCGGCGGUACCCGUGUCGAAGUCGCUCCGAAGUGCUGGUGAGCGUGUUUCUUCGGCGAGUUCGCAGCGGAUGCCGCAGCGUACGAGGUCCUCGUCGUCCCCGGUUCCUGUCUCGGUGUCCAUGAACCGGCCUAUCCCCCGUCCUGCAGAACCGGCGGCAGGCAAUCCCGAGGGCGGUCUCACCGGCGACUCGACGGCGCCAGCGGUGCUGCAGCUGAGCUUGUCCAAGACGCAUGGCCCGCCAUCGCAGCCGGCAGCCGCCUGCGCCACCGGCGACGAUGGGAACGGUGGUGUGCCCUACGUGGCACCAGAGCUGACGCAGCCGUAUUGCAAGCCGAACCAGCGGCGGCGUGACACUCUGCGGCCUGGGUUUGAGCCCGUGACGGCGCACGAUUGCACGUCUCUGCAUCGCACCUUGUCCGCUUCCUUCGCCCAGGCAGACGUGUCGCCGUCCACCUCGUCAUCGCAGCUUCAGCCGCGCUCAUACCCCCACAAGGACAGCGGCACCAAGCCGCGUCUUGCAUCAACUUCGGCUGCCGCUGCUCCACCGAGCCCUCGGUCGACUAGUCGCCGAAAGAGAGAUGCGGUUAAGGCGACGCCGGCGAUGGCCGCAACGACAAGCGUGUUUCCGCAGCAGGAUACGAGCGAGACGGCCGCUGAGGAGGCAGGGGCGACCGCAGCCACAGACCUCGCCUCCACUUCUCUAGCUUCGCGCGGGGUGGCGACGCAACUCUUCCAUGACGACGAGAAGGGCAACCUGCUGCGGCAGGCGGACGUCGAGGAAGACGGGGUCGAGAGCCUCGGAGCACCUGAUGUCAACGGGACACCCAAGCAGGAGCAGGAGGUGAUUCUGCUCGCAAGCAACAACAAGGCCUUCUGGCUUCGCCCCUCGACCGCCAUGUACGAGAUGACGGCUAGCAUCGCCGCGAAGCGCAAAGACCAUCACGAGGACGAGGAGGAGAUGCGUAGAAGUCCAAACCGGCGCCAUCAGAACCAGUCGCGCUCAUGCGCCGCUACCGCGAGUACCGCCAGCAGCUGCGGGACCCCCCGCGGCCGUCCCUCCACAAGCGCGGAGGCGAAGCCCCGCUUCACCACCCAUAUGACUGCCGCGCACCGGGAACGCUGUGAGGAGGUUCCCGCUGCUGUCGCCUCCGCCCCUGCGCACACGUACGGCUCCAUCUACAGCGCCCGCCAGGCCGCCGCCCACAAGCGUGCCCUUUCCCGCCCCAUACAGCGAAUGACGACGGACGCCUCCACGGUGAAUCGGGCUUGUGACUCACCGCGCCGCGCCUCGCAACACCAACCGCAGCGGCGUGCCGCGCCGAGGGCCUGCAGUCUGCGCAGCCCACUAGAGCGUCGUUCCAGCACUCUCUCGCAUUUGAGUAGUGACCCACCGAUGACAGCCUCGUCGGAGGAGCGCCACCGUGCUGUCAACUCUGGGCGUGUGUCCAUCCGUCAGCAGGACUCUUUCUCCAAACACUGCGCUCGUGUAGCGGCGCGCAACAGCCGGCCUGAGGAGUCCGCCGGCGCCGCUGCGGAGCCGGCGAAGCGGUCGAGGACGAAGACAGUCGCCGCGUCAGCGUGUGAGACUCCGGUGAAGGGUGAGGUUGCGGUGCCUUCGAAGCCUAUGGUCCACAAGAAGCUGCAGUUCGAGACGGAGGCCGAAUCCGAGCCGCGCAAGAACGUUCCCAAGGCCACUGAUCGCGUUCUCGCCUCACCAGUGGAGCCAAAGCCGGUGCCGCCGUCGCCAGAGACCACGAUGCAUGGCCUUCACCGGCCCGGCGAGGGCUCCCCGUCCAAGUCUCGCCGGCGGGAGCACGACCUCACCGCCUCCCCGGCACGUCCAGACGACCACACCGACGCGGAGUCGGGCCUUGAUGCGCAGGACGCCGCGAUGGAGCGCGAAAAGGAGGAGGCGCGCGUGCAGCAGGUGCGGACAGCGCUGGAGAGCUUCCGGAAAUCGCGGCCGGCAUGCAUGAACGAUCCUAAAGCCUCCCAUGUCAAGGCCACUUCCACUUCCACGAACGAAGUGGUGGCAGCCAUGCUACAGGGCAUUGUGCAGCAGACGCGCCAGACGCUGCCCUGCUAUCUGUGCGCGGAUCAGCAGAACGCUUCUGCCUAUCACGUGCACGUGGAUCUGUGCCGUCCUAAGACGGAGGCCCUGCUGUGUGAGUACUACACCGCCAUGGACGACGUAAAGGACAUUCUCGCAGCGCUGCAGGAGCGCAUCCAGCACGUGGCCGCCCAGGAAGUCCCCUCCUCCACCUCCCCCGAGACGGAGCGCGACGCCUUCGCGAAAAAGUGCUAUCAAUGCGUCAAAGCCAUGCUCGUGGCGUGCCGCAAGUGCGGCGUACAAGUCCGUGUGCACGACGUCAAAGAGCACGAGAUGCUUUGCGGCCGUGCAUGCUAUCGCAACAGCCGCGCAGCUGAGCGCGUCCGUGCCACGGUGGAGCGCAUCGAUCACGGCUCGCAAGAGUAAUACACAACUGCGAAAUCCAGCAGAAGAAAAAAAAAAACAAGACGCACAUCUUCCUCGUCUUCUCUCUCUGCCGGCCACCCGCCUUUGAGAGCCUCAACUGCUACCAGCGCCGUAGCAACCGUGAGGGAGUCGGUGCCAGGUGCUAAGGGGUUCGUGUGUCGAACGCUCCUCGAGAGCAACCGCCGCGAACACCGCCCACCGCCAUCCUUUCUGUCCUCAUUUAUUCAUCAUUUUUUCUUUUUUUUCCCGAAUAG